rnacentral:sRNA from 1 species
AGUCCGCGGGAAACCAAAAUGGCGAGGGGCUGUAUUGAAGUGGGCUGUGUUUGAGGCCGGUGUAAGAACGCUCAUUCUACCCCCAACCCUUGUCUCCAAGGACCUCGGUUUGUGCGUGCAUAUGUGCCGGGUACCCGGUGGGGCGGGUGCCCAGUAAGUGCUCGGACUCGCAGGGGAAGCGCCCACGGGGACGGAUUGGUUGUUUUUUCCUGUAUGAAGCGGUUGGCACCACUGAAGUGACCGAAUGAGGAGCCACUGGAAGUGGGGAAAUGGUCUGUACAAUAUGUCAAGAAGAGUAUUCAGAAGCUCCCAAUGAAAUGGUUAUAUGUGACAAGUGUGGCCAAGGAUAUCAUCAGUUGUGUCACACACCUCAUAUUGAUUCCAGUGUGAUUGAUUCAGAUGAAAAAUGGCUCUGUCGGCAGUGUGUUUUUGCAACAACAACAAAGAGGGGUGGUGCACUUAAGAAAGGACCAAAUGCCAAAGCAUUGCAAGUCAUGAAGCAGACAUUACCCUAUAGUGUGGCAGACCUUGAAUGGGAUGCAGGUCAUAAAACCAAUGUCCAGCAGUGUUACUGCUAUUGUGGAGGCCCUGGAGACUGGUAUUUGAAGAUGCUACAGUGCUGCAAAUGUAAGCAGUGGUUUCAUGAGGCUUGUGUGCAAUGCCUUCAAAAGCCAAUGCUAUUUGGAGACAGAUUUUAUACGUUUAUAUGCUCUGUCUGCAGUUCUGGACCAGAAUACCUCAAACGUCUACCAUUACAGUG